rnacentral:sRNA from 1 species
GACAAGAUAGUUGGGUUUGGCUCUACGGUCAUUUUCAGGAGCUGGGCUAUGUGAAGAAGGCGAAGGCGAACAAGAUCAAUCGGGAGAAGAAGACUCUUCUCCACCAUUCGGGUUUGAGGCCUUUCUCCUAUAGGAUGGAGGCGCGGCAGAAGGGUUCAAAAUUUCCGGAGAUCGACGUCUUUGCUGACGUUUAUGUUUGAACUAGGGAUGAGUUGACCAAGUCCCUUUAAGCGACUAUGGUGGAGAAGGGUCAGUCGGUGCUUCGGGAGUUCGCCUCCCAGCUUACCUCAAACACGUCGAUUGAGUCUGUGGAUCCCCCUAAGGAUGCGGGGUUUCACAUCCUGACAAAGACGUUGGACUAGACUUUCGCUCAAAAGCCAGGGGCAUAUUGUUGGGGGAUGGGAAAUGCCAGGCG